rnacentral:tRNA from 1 species
GUUUCUGUAGCGCAAUGGAUAGCGCGUUGGACUUCUAACCCAGAGGUCGUUGGUUCGAAUCCUACCUGGGAUG